UUGAAGAUUAAAUUUUGCCCCUCGUUUGUAUUUGAUUAUUUGAAUAGUAAAUUACAGUCCUCUGGUAGCUCUAGCCUGAGCUUUGUUCAGAACAGGUACCUAUCUAUGAAUUAAUUUAAAUUCACUUGGAAACAAAAUUACAUAGAUUGUUAUAGUAAUAACUUGAUCAGAGUCAGUGUAAUUGAAUAUUGAAAGACUGCCAUUGAAAAAAUAGGUACUAUUUUUCUGGUUGACCAUUGCUACCAAACUCAUUUAAAACUAAAAUAGUAAUGUAUUUGAAAAACUUAUUCAUGCUCUAUUGAUCGAUAUAUUGCAUGAUGCCAGGUAUAUCAAUGUAAAUAGUAUAGAUUAAAACAGGAGACACACAACAUAGAUGGAUUAAAAACACUGAAAAACUUACAUUAUAAUCAGAAAUUUUCGAGGAACUGUGUCCCUUUUCUUGACCGAGCAUUUUAAUCUAUGUCGUAUGUCUCCUGUUUUAAUUCAUAUUAUAAAACUUUAAAGUGUUUUCUGUUAUGUGCUACGAAUGUAAGUAGGCUAUAAAAACUAUGUAUUAUCAUUGAUGAUUAACUUCACUUUAUCUCCAAAAUGGAUAUAUGUUGAAAGAUUGAAUAAGUUUCUUUUUUCAGGUACCAUUUACAAACAAAAUAUUGAAGAGAAUGUGCUCAAAAGGAAAUGUAUAUGAAUUCGUUUUUGUUGACCAGGAUGGAAAAAUUCUUUGGAACCCAUAGUUAGAAUAAGUAAGUUAGGCCUAGUGGUGUACCAGCCAGAAGUAGAGGAUGACAAAGAAAAUCAACUAUGAAUAAUAUUCCAUGAUUCAUGUAUGAUGUAGUAGCCUACAGAAGAAAGAGAUGGACUAAUCUAAGAAAUAUAUCAAUUUUUUCAGUAAA
rnacentral:lncRNA from 1 species